rfam:Thioploca ingrica DNA, complete genome.
UGUCGGUCCCCUCGCAACGUAAAGUUGUGAACCCCGUCAGGUCCGGAAGGAAGCAGCGGUAGCAGCGAAAACGGGUGCCGGGGUGUGGCUGACAUGG